rnacentral:rRNA from 1 species
GACGAACGCUGGCGGCGCGCCUAACACAUGCAAGUCGAACGAGCGAGAGAGAGCUUGCUUUCUCGAGCGAGUGGCGAACGGGUGAGUAACGCGUGAGGAACCUGCCUCAAAGAGGGGGACAACAGUUGGAAACGACUGCUAAUACCGCAUAAGCCCACGGGUCGGCAUCGACCAGAGGGAAAAGGAGCAAUCCGCUUUGAGAUGGCCUCGCGUCCGAUUAGCUAGUUGGUGAGGUAACGGCCCACCAAGGCAACGAUCGGUAGCCGGACUGAGAGGUUGAACGGCCACAUUGGGACUGAGACACGGCCCAGACUCCUACGGGAGGCAGCAGUGGGGGAUAUUGCGCAAUGGGGGAAACCCUGACGCAGCAACGCCGCGUGAAGGAUGAAGGUCUUCGGAUUGUAAACUUCUUUUAUUAAGGACGAAGAAAGUGACGGUACUUAAUGAAUAAGCCCCGGCUAACUACGUG